rnacentral:tRNA from 1 species
UCGAGGAUCGUCUAACCGGCAGGACGUUACACUCUGGAUGUAAAAAUCGGGGUUCGAAUCCCUGUCCUCGAG